rnacentral:rRNA from 1 species
CGGACGGGUGAGUAAUGCUUGGGAAUCUGGCUUAUGGAGGGGGAUAACUACGGGAAACUGUAGCUAAUACCGCGUAGUAUCGGAAGAUGAAAGUGUGGGACCGCAAGGCCACAUGCCAUAAGAUGAGCCCAAGUGGGAUUAGGUAGUUGGUUAGGUAAAGGCUGACCAAGCCGACGAUCUCUAGCUGGUCUGAGAGGAUGACCAGCCACACUGGAACUGAGACACGGUCCAGACUCCUACGGGAGGCAGCAGUGGGGAAUAUCGCACAAUGGGGGGAACCCUGAUGCAGCCAUGCCGCGUGAAUGAAGAAGGCCUUCGGGUUGUAAAGUUCUUUCGGUGAUGAGGAAGGCAGGUAAGUUAAUAGCUUGCUUGAUUGACGUUAGUCACAGAAGAAGCACCGGCUAACUCCGUGCCAGCAGCCGCGGUAAUACGGAGGGUGCGAGCGUUAAUCGGAAUAACUGGGCGUAAAGGGCACGCAGGCGGUGACUUAAGUGAGAUGUGAAAGCCCCGAGCUUAACUUGGGAAUUGCAUUUCAUACUGGGUCGCUAGAGUACUUUAGGGAGGGGUAGAAUUCCACGUGUAGCGGUGAAAUGCGUAGAGAUGUGGAGGAAUACCGAAGGCGAAGGCAGCCCCUUGGGAAUGUACUGACGCUCAUGUGCGAAAGCGUGGGGAGCAAACAGGAUUAGAUACCCUGGUAGUCCACGCUGUAAACGCUGUCGAUUUGGGGAUUGGGCUUUGAGCUUGGUGCCCGUAGCUAACGUGAU